UAAGGAAUAUUGCUCAAUGGGAGAAAUCCUGAAGCAGCAACGCCGCGUGGAGGAUGAAGGGUUUUUAACUUGUAAACUCCUGUAAAGAAGGAAAAAAUUCCCAUUAGAUGGGAAAUGAUGGUACUUCUGGAGUAAGCCCCGGCUAACUACGUGCCAGCAGCCGCGGUAAUACGUAGGGGGCAAGCGUUGUCCGGAUUUACUGGGUGUAAAGGGUGCUCAGGCGGAUUUGUAAGUCAGAGGUGAAAUCUCACAGCUUAACUGUGAAACUGCCUUUGAUACUGCAAGCCUAGAGUAUGGAAGAGAGUGAUGGAAUAUCUGGUGUAGCAGUGAAAUGCGUAGAUAUCAGAUAGAACACCAAUGGCGAAGGCAGUCACUUGGUCCAUAACUGACGCUAAAGCACGAAAGCGUGGGUAGCAAACAGGAUUAGAUACCCUGGUAGUCCACGCCCUAAACGAUGAAUACUAGAUGUUGGCUUCGCAUGAAGUCAGUAUCUGAGCUAGCGCAUUAAGUAUUCCACCUGGGAAGUACGAUCGCAAGGUUGAAACUUAAAUGAAUUGAC
rnacentral:rRNA from 1 species